rnacentral:rRNA from 1 species
UGAGGAACAUGACCUUCGGCGGGGGAUAGCCGGCCCAACGGCCGGGUAAUACCGCGUACGACCUUCCGGGGACAUCCCUGGAUGGUGAAAGCAGCAAUGCGCCGAUGGAGUGCCUCGCGGCCUAUCAGCUAGUUGGUGAGGUAACGGCUCACCAAGGCAACGACGGGUAGCUGGUCUGAGAGGAUGGCCAGCCACAUUGGGACUGAGACACGGCCAGACUCCUACGGGAGGCAG